GUACGUAGGCAGCAAGCGUUGUUCGGAGUUACUGGGCGUAAAGGGUGCGUAGGUGGCUCUAUAAGUAUGGGUGUGAAAUCUCCCGGCUUAACUGGGAGGGUGCGCCGUAGACUGUGGGGCUAGAGUGUGGGAGAGGAAAGUGGAAUUCCUGGUGUAGCGGUGAAAUGCGUAGAUAUCAGGAGGAACACCGGUGGUGUAAACGGCUUUCUGGACCAUAACUGACACUGAGGCACGAAAGCGUGGGUAGCAAACAGG
rnacentral:rRNA from 1 species